AACGAACGCUGGCGGCAUGCCUAACACAUGCAAGUCGAACGAGAUCUUCGGGUCUAGUGGCGCACGGGUGCGUAACGCGUGGGAAUCUGCCCUUUGGUUCGGAAUAACAGUUGGAAACGACUGCUUAUACCGGAUGAUGACGAAAGUCCAAAGAUUUAUCGCCAGAGGAUGAGCCCGCGUAGGAUUAGCUAGUUGGUGUGGUAAAGGCGCACCAAGGCGACGAUCCUUAGCUGGUCUGAGAGGAUGAUCAGCCACACUGGGACUGAGACACGGCCCAGACUCCUACGGGAGGCAGCAGUGGGGAAUAUUGGACAAUGGGCGAAAGCCUGAUCCAGCAAUGCCGCGUGGGUGAUGAAGGCCUUAGGGUUGUAAAGCUCUUUUACCCGGGAUGAUAAUGACAGUACCGGGGGAAUAAGCUCCGGCUAACUCCGUGCCAGCAGCCGCCGUAA
rnacentral:rRNA from 1 species